GGANCACNCCGCGUGAGUGANAANGNNUUCGGCUCGUAAANCUCUGUUGUUGGAGAAGAACGUGCGUGAGAGUAACUGUUCACGCUNUGACGGUAUCCAACCAGAAAGUCACGGCUAACUACGUGCCAGCAGCCGCGGUAAUACGUAGGUGGCAAGCGUUAUCCGGAUUUAUUGGGCGUAAAGCGAGCGCAGGCGGUUGCUUANGUCUGAUGUGAAAGCCUUCGGCUUAACCGAAGAAGUGCAUCGGAAACCGGGCGACUUGAGUGCAGAAGAGGACAGUGGAACUCCAUGUGUAG
rnacentral:rRNA from 1 species